rnacentral:rRNA from 1 species
UACAGAGGGUGCAAGCGUUGUUCGGAAUUAUUGGGCGUAAAGGGCGCGUAGGCGGCGCGAGCAGUCGGCGGUGAAAGCCCGGAGCUCAACUCCGGGUCGGCCGUCGAUACUCUCGUGCUUGAGCACUGCAGAGGCAGGUGGAAUUCCUGGUGUAGCGGUGAAAUGCGCAGAUAUCAGGAAGAACACCGGAUGGCGAAGGCAGCUCCUCUGGGACGGUGCUGACGCUGAGACGCGAAAGCGUGGGGAGCGAACAGG